rnacentral:rRNA from 1 species
UGGAGAGUUUGAUCCUGGCUCAGAACGAACGCUGGCGGUAUGCUUAAUACAUGCAAGUCGAACGAGAAAGUCACUUCGGUGGCGAGUAUAGUGGCGCACGGGUGAGUAACACGUAGGAGACCUACCUUGUUGCGGGGGAUAACUCAGAGAAAUUUGAGCUAAUACCCCAUAAGCUGGGCAAAUUUGAAAGUAGCUCAGGAAAGAUUGCCUCUUCUUGAAAGCAAUCGCGAUAAGAUGGGCCUGCGGGACAUUAGCUUGUUGGUGGGGUAAUGGCCUACCAAGGCUGCGAUGUCUAGCCGGAUUGAGAGAUUGAUCGGCCACACUGGAACUGAGACACGGUCCAGACUCCUACGGGAGGCAGCAGUAGGGAAUAUUGCGCAAUGGGGGCAACCCUGACGCAGCAAUACCGCGUGAGUGAGGAAGGUCCUCGGAUUGUAAAACUCUGUCAGAGUGGAAAAACGGCAUUUGGUCCAAUAGGCCAGGUGUUUGAUGGUACACUCAAAGGAAGCACCGGCUAACUUCGUGCCAGCAGCCGCGGUAAUACGAAGGGUGCAAGCGUUGUUCGGAUUUAUUGGGCGUAAAGCGCGCGCAGGCGGAUAUGUAAGUCAGAUGUGAAAUCUCGGGGCUCAACUCCGAAACUGCGUCUGAAACUGCUUAUCUAGAAUCUUGGAGAGGGAAGGGGAAUUUCGCAUGUAGGGGUAAAAUCCGUAGAGAUGCGAAGGAACACCAGAGGCGAAGGCGCCUUCCUGGACAAGUAUUGACGCUGAGGCGCGAAGGCGUGGGGAGCGAACAGGAUUAGAUACCCUG